rnacentral:rRNA from 1 species
YAUUCCUACGGGAGGCAGCAGCAGGGAAUAUUGCGCAAUGAGCGAAAGCUUGACGCAGCGACACCGCGUGUGGGAUGACGGAUCUAGGUUUGUAAACCACUUUCAGGAGGGAAGAAAAUGACGGUACCUCCACAAGAAGCCCCGGCCAACUACGUGCCAGCAGCCGCGGUAAUACGUAGGGGGCGAGCGUUGUCCGGAUUUAUUGGGCGUAAAGAGCUCGUAGGCGGUUCAACAAGUCGGUCGUAAAAGUUCAGGGCUCAACCCUGAAAUGUCGAUCGAUACUGUUGUGACUAGGAUACGGUAGAGGUGAGUGGAAUUCCAAGUGUAGCGGUGAAAUGCGUAGAUAUUCGGAGGAACACCAAUUGCGAAGGCAGCUCACUGGGCCGCUAUCGACGCUGAGGAGCGAAAGCUAGGGGAGCAAACAGGAUUAGAUACCCUGGUAGUCCACGCUGUAAACGAUGGAUACUAAUGAGUCGGAGGAUUCGAUCCCUUUGACUCAUGCAGUUAACGCAAUAAGUAUCCCGCCUGGGGAGUACGGUCGCAAGGGUGAAACUCAAAGGAAUUGACGGAAUC